GAUGAAGAACGCAGCGAAAUGCGAUAAGUAAUGUGAAUUGCAGAAUUCAGUGAAUCAUCGAAUCUUUGAACGCACAUUGCGCCCGCCAGUAUUCUGGCGGGCAUGCCUGUUCGAGCGUCAUUACAACCCUCAGGCCCCCGGGCCUGGCGUUGGGGAUCGGCGGAGCCCCCCGUGGGCACACGCCGUCCCCCAAAUGCAGUGGCGGUCCCGCCGCAGCUUCCAUCGCGUAGUAGCUAACACCUCGCGACUGGAGAGCGGCUCGGCCACGCCGUAAAACACCCAACUCUUCUGAAGUUGACCUCGAAUCAGGUAGGAAUACCCGCUGAACUUAAGCAUAUCAAUAAGCGGAGGA
rnacentral:misc_RNA from 1 species